rfam:Otolemur garnettii contig191568, whole genome shotgun sequence.
CCAAAGGCUCUUUUCAGAGCCACCUAUCUCUUCCCUGAAAGAAGCUG